rnacentral:rRNA from 1 species
GACGAACGCUGGCGGCGUGCCUAAUACAUGCCAGUAGAACGCUGAAGAGAGGAGCUUGCUCUUCUUGGAUGAGUUGCGAACGGGUGAGUAACGCGUAGGUAACCUGCCUGGUAGCGGGGGAUAACUAUUGGAAACGAUAGCUAAUACCGCAUAAAAUUGAUUAUUGCAUGAUAAUUAAUUGAAAGAUGCAACUGCAUCACUACCAGAUGGACCUGCGUUGUAUUAGCUAGUUGGUGAGGUAACGGCUCACCAAGGCGACGAUACAUAGCCGACCUGAGAGGGUGAGCGGCCACACUGGGACUGAGACACGGCCCAGACUCCUACGGGAGGCAGCAGUAGGGAAUCUUCGGCAAGGGGGGGAACCCUGACCGAGCAACGCCGCGGGAGUGAAGAAGGGUGUCGGAUCGUAAAGCUCUGUUGUAAGAGAAGAACGGGUGUGAGAGUGGAAAGUUCACACUGUGACGGUAUCUUACCAGAAAGGGACGGCUAACUACGUG